CCUACGGGUGGCAGCAGUGAGGAAUAUUGGUCAAUGGGCGGAAGCCUGAACCAGCCACGUAGCGUGCGGGAUGAAGGCCCUACGGGUCGUAAACCGCUUUUGCACGGGGAAAACACCCUCCACUUGUGGAGGUCUGCAGGUACCGUGCGAAUAAGGGCCGGCUAAUUCCGUGCCAGCAGCCGCGGUAAUAAGGAAGGCCCGAGCGUUAUCCGGAUUCAUUGGUCGUAAAGGGAGCGUAGUCGUGCGUUCAAGUCAGCUGUAAAAUCGAGCGGCGCAACCGGGCACCGCAGUUGAAACUGGACGCCUUGAGUUCACAACGGGCAGGCUGAAUUCGUGGUGUAGCGGUGAAAUGC
rnacentral:rRNA from 1 species